AUGGAUGAUCAUCAAGAGGAAGCGCCGGAGAAGGUGAAGCUUUUCGGCAUGUGGGCGAGCCCCUACGUCCUCAAGGUAAAAUGGGCUCUCAGCAUCAAGGGCGUGGAGUACGAGUACGUGGAGGAGGACCUGAGGAACAAGAGCGACGACCUCCUGGAGCACAACCCCGUGCACAAGAAGGUCCCCGUGCUGCUCUACCGCGGCAAACCGGUGGCGGAGUCCGACGUCAUCGUCGAGUUCGUCGACGAGGCGUGGAGCUACCGCGGCGGCCGCAUCCUCCCCGACGACCCCCACGAGCGCGCCAUGGCCCGCUUCUGGGUGAGGUUCGUGCACGACAAGCUCUCGCCGCCGAUCUGGAAGUGGUUCACGGCGGCGCCAGGCGAGGGCCAGAAGGCCGCGCUGGGGGCCGCCGUGGAGCAGCUGCAGGUCCUGGAGGACUUGCUCGCCCUCGGCGGCAAGGAUUUCUUCGCCGGGGAGAGCGUCGGGCUCGUCGACCUGUCGCUCGGCGCGUUGGCGUACGUGAUCCCGAUGUACGAGGAGAUCAUCGGCGUGAGGAUGGUCACCGAGGAGAGGUUCCCGUCUCUGUCGGCGUGGAUGGGGCGGUUCUUGGACUCGCCGCCGGUGAAGGAUCACCCGCCGCCAGUGGAGAGGCUGAAACCCAGGUACCGAGCCAUGCGCGAAGCCUUUCUGAACAUGGGCUAG
rnacentral:rRNA from 1 species